rnacentral:rRNA from 1 species
UACCGCAUGACAUUCUGCUUUUGGAGAAGCGGAAAUCAAAGCUGGGGAUUCGCAAGAACCGAGCGCUUGAAGAGGGGCCCGCGCCUGAUUAGCUAGUUGGUGAGGUAACGGCUCACCAAGGCUUCGAUCAGUAUCCGGCCUGAGAGGGCGGACGGACACACUGGGACUGAGACACGGCCCAGACUCCUACGGGAGGCAGCAGUGGGGAAUUGUUCGCAAUGGGCGCAAGCCUGACGACGCAACGCCGCGUGGAGGAUGAAGAUUUUCGGAUCGUAAACUCCUGUCGAGUGGGAAGAAUAGCUUUGGGGUGAAUAGCGCUGAAGUCUGACGGUACCACUAAAGGAAGCCCCGGCUAACUCCGUGCCAGCAGCCGCGGUAAUACGGGGGGGGCAAGCGUUGUUCGGAAUUACUGGGCGUAAAGGGCUCGUAGGCGGCCAACUAAGUCAGACGUGAAAUCCCCAGGCUCAACCUGGGAACUGCGUCUGAUACUGGAUGGCUUGAAUUCGGGAGAGGGAUGCAGAAUUCCAGGUGUAGCGGUGAAAUGCGUAGAUAUCUGGAGGAAUACCGGUGGCGAAGGCGGCAUCCUGGACCGACAUUGACGCUGAGGAGCGAAAGCUAGGGGAGCAAACGGGAUUAGAUACCCCGGUAGUCCUAGCCCUAAACGAUGAAUGCUUGGUGUAACGGGUAUCGAUCCCUGUUGUGCCGAAGCUAACGCAUUAAGCAUCCGCC